GGAGGAGGAGAUGCUUGCUGCAUGGUUUUGAUUUCUGAAGACAGAAACCUAGCUAUGCAUUGGAAGUGUAAGUACUGCUUGUUUUCUUGUGGAAAGAGGGCUCAACUAUUCAGCAUCUACCGCUUAAAACAUGGAAGCUACGCCAGAAUUACUCCAAGUCCAUGCCUCCACACAGAUUGUGUGCGUUCAUUUAAGUAAUAAUCCUGGUUCUGAAUCAGAAUGACUGAAUGAGAUGUGAAGAGCAACUUCCAGCCACCAGAGAGAGACAAACUCCACCAGCUCAUCAGAUGACGGUGAGCUGCAUCAACCACACCUACAGCUGCUGUGCCAGAUGUGUCACAACCAUAGACUGUUAAAACAUGGACAUAGUCUCUGUGAAAUCUCCCAUAGCUUUCUGAAGAGUUCUUAUGGAGCUCAGUGCCAGUGGCUCUGGUUGUUGCCGUCUUGGCAGCGCCUGACUCCACCAAACUCCUGAUUAAUCCAAAAAUAGGCAAAGAGGUGGAGCGUGCGUGGAGCGGAGGUGACCAAAUGAAGCCUGGUUGCUGAAACCUAGCAGCUAGCAAUCGCUUAAAGCAGCAAUGCUGAAUUUUACUUUAACUUUGAGUCUUUAAUUUAAAUGAGUGAAUUAUAUAAAAAUCCCCCCUCAUAGUCCCCUGGACUAUGGAG